UCGUCAACCGUCGCCUGAGCAGAGGCCGGCGCGGGAUCUUCCUCCUCCUCCCCUGUUCGUCAACCACCGCCGCUCGACCCUGCCUCACCGUCGCCUGAGCAGAGGCCGGCGGGGGAUCUUCCUCCUCCUCCCCUGCUCGUCAACCGCCGCCGCUCGACCCUGCCUCACCGUCGCCUGAGCAGAGGCCGGCGCGGGAUCUUCCUCCUCCUCCCCUGCUCGUCAACCGCCGCCGCUCGACCCCGCCUCUCCGUUGCCUGAGCCGGAGGCCAACGCGGGAUCUUCCUCGUCCUCCCCUGCCCGUGACCCGACGCCUUCUCCUCCCUUGCUCGCCGCUGGUCGCUGGUCGACCCCGCCUCGCCCGCGCGGGAGUCUCCUCCCGUGCUCGUCAACCGCCACCGCCCUUCAACACGGCAGGUCCUCUGGCAUGCGGAGGGCGCCGUGGCCGGCGACGAUGGCGCCGCCGACAAGCAUCCCAGAGAUGAUGGCGCCGUGGCCGUGAAGAAGAAGGCCCAGGGGCUGCUCUCCUUCCUCGUGGCACCCGGAUGAGGUUUGAGGCGGCGGGCGACGAGAUCUGGGGCUCCAUAGCGCCAUGGUCAACUCCGCCGGAAGACCACCAUUCACCUCGUCUAGCUCGACGCCCGUGCUCGGAUCUGGAUGUUGGCAAGGGCCAGUUCGCCCGUUUUGUAAUUGUUUUUUUUUGUUUGGUUUGUUCGUUGUUCUUAUAAAUGGAGAACAUUAUAUUGUGUAAAUACUGUGAUGAUGGAUAUAGUAUGUAAAUAGAAUAUUUCUGUCUUAUAAAAAUCCG